GUCUCAAAGAUUAAGCCAUGCAUGUCUAAGUAUAAGCAAUCUAUACGGUGAAACUGCGAAUGGCUCAUUAAAUCAGUUAUCGUUUAUUUGAUAGUACCUUACUACUUGGAUAACCGUGGUAAUUCUAGAGCUAAUACAUGCUAAAAACCCCGACUUCGGAAGGGGUGUAUUUAUUAGAUAAAAAACCAAUGC
rnacentral:rRNA from 3 species